GAGAUUUGAUUUCCAAGCUGGCACUAGGAGACAGCAACAGGUGAAGAGGGAGUUGCUGCUGCAGGUGGUCAGUGAGCUGAGAGGCCUGGGAGCAAGCUGCAAGGCCUGAAGUCUGCUGCUUCAUCUUGUCAGUAAUUUGUUGUUGUUGUUGUUGUUGUGUGUGUACCACCUGGGUUGAGAAGCUGUGUGUAACUAUGUGCUGAUGUGGCUGGCAGUCCUUCCCUUCUCCUGACAGAUGGGGAAAAAAAGUUACCUUUCUAGUGUGUCUGUAAUUGAUAGGGCUGGACUUCUGAUGGAGGGCAAUACUUCAAGGCCUUUUCUCAGGAAGCCCAGUGGCUGGUGACAGAGAUUCCCAAGGGAGUGAGAAAUCUGGAGGUCCUGAAAGAAAACGGAUGAAGUGUGUUUGCACCUGGUUUUUCAGGUUGGAAUGCAUGGAUGAUGAUGCACAAGAUGCACCCCUGCUAUGGGAUGGGCUCCUGAGAGAUGCAACUUUGUGGCACCUGUGAAACAAAAUAAAAGAAGAAAGAGAUGUACUUUGAAUUUGUGGAAGUAUUGAUUAGGGAUUUAAAUGAAACAAUGGAAAGAGUGACAAAAUAUAAGCAGAAGUGGAAAAAAAAAAAUGCCAAAAGUGUGGGAAAUGAAAAACAUGUAACUUUUUAUUGUAAAUCUUGGCUUGUUUGCAUUAAUUCCAUUUGCAUGUAAGUAUUUGAUGGCCAUGGUAAUACUUGGCUAUUCAGUGAGAGUAAGGCAUAUGAAAGAUGAAGUUUCAAGAGCAGAGUUUUCUGUGCCUGGCUAAACUUUUGUACUUAUGGUUCAGGAGAGUAUAGCUUAAAUAUGUAUCUUGUAAGAGGACAUCUGUCUCAAUAGUAUGAAUAUUCUUAAUUGAUAUUAGCAACCCAUUUGUCAUUUGACAGCUGCCUCCAGGCUCAUAGGCUUUUAUCUUGGAAUCUGUAAAGAAUAUAGAAUGUUGUUUCACAGGGCUUGUUUUUCUUUCAUGCUCUGUCAAAAGUUUGAGCUGCAAAGCAUUUUUUAAAGCCUAACGAUUACUGCUUGUUUGUGUAUCUUUUCCAUUUCAUCAGCUUUAAGGAAGUAGAACUUUCCGAAAGGUCAGACAACAGUUCAGAUUUUUGUAACCUUGAUAGCUUCUCUGCCAACCUUUUCAAAAGAUACUUGCCCGAAUUUGUGUCUCUAAUUAGUGUAAUAUCUAUUUCUUGUGGUUGUUCAGAUCUAAUGCCAGGAAGGCGUUAGAUCCUAGCCUCUUACCUCAGAGAGGUAGAGGAUCCUAACCUCAUUUUUCUAAUCCUGCUUUAAAGAACUUCUGUAACAUAAAAAUUACUUUUACUGCAUUGACCUUCCAUAAGGAAAGAGCUGCUACUGCACAUAAAUUUGUGUUAUCUUUUCUACUGGCAUUCUCCUCUGUUGUAAGUAUAUGAGAGAACACAUAUACUUGCCUAGAUUCUCUCCACUGUUUGCUGUGUGCCUAAGUGGGGGGGGGAAGCCUAAUCUUCAAUUUGAAUGAAAUCUUGAAAGCUGAAGCUUUCAAGUCACAGGAGUGGUGCCAGACGUAUAAGCACCCUGUGUGGGGAUAAAAAGUCUGAAGAAGCUGACCACUCCUGCAAAAAACAAACAAGCGAAAAAAACAGAAAAACAAACAAAGAGACAAAAACCACUUUAACACAACAUGCUGCGUGACAGAAGGAAGACCCCAUCCCUGGAGCCCUCACAAAAGACAUCUGAAGCCCUCUGUAGCAGUUCUCUUUGGAACUAAGUGUCUUCUGGCAGGGAUGAGUGCUCACUGCAGCUCUGCUCAUGGCUAGAGCUAAGAAGGGAAGGUCGUGUUUACUUCUUCAGAAUUCCUGUGACCUACAUUAGAAGUAAUCUUUAAAGUUACUCACCAUGGUUGCUUUUUUUUUGUUUGUUUGUUUUUAAGUCAUACUUUGUGAGAUUCAACUUUACCAGGUGAGUUUAAACUAAGUUUAACAUGAGUAAGCCAGGCCUGUACUGGUUGAUCAAGGCAGCCUAGAACAAACUUCUCCCAAGAUACUGGUUGGCAGUUAGUAGUAAUUACUGAAUCAAAAAUAGGAAUGGAGUGAAUUGCUGCCUUGAGUUGCUGAAAACAGCUGUAGAACAUACAUAAGGUAAAUUAGGGGCCUCUUCUUGCAGCACCAUGGUGGCACAACAGGCAAGUGCCUCUCUUGUACCACUCAUCCUGGUGGGCUUCCAGUCCCACCCAGCUACUCUCACUGCCCUCCUCAGCAGUAAAGGGAGUGAAAAUAUGAGGGAAGGGCUUGUGGGUUGGGACACAGGGAGAUCACAUACCAGUUGUCACCAAAACUUGCCAUGCUGGAAGCAAGAUGACCCGUUCUACCCCUGUAGGCAGCCAGUCUUACUGUUCACUACCUUCAUAAGAGUAUUCUAUAUAUGAUUCCUGAGAAACUGAAGAAGUAGGAGACCUGAAUGCUGGAAUUUUCCAUUACUUCUCUGAGUUUUUUUUUCAGUAAUAGACUAGAUGCUCCAUUCCCAAAGGAAAUUGUUAUGUGCGUAUUUCCAAGAUUGUAUUUAGCUUGUAAAUUUAGCACACGUGAACCUGUAAUGAGAGUGUGUGACUUUACUGUAUGUUUGGAUGUCACAUAUUCAUAUAAGCUGAAUAUGACCGUAUAAAUAGCAUCCAUUUAUUAUUUUUUUUUUUAUAUCACUGAAUCCAACUACCUAUGGAAUGGAUGGUUGUUGGAGUCAAUACUGGUGUACUGUAUUGCAAGGGAAUACUUACCUUCUUUAUUUUUAUUUUUUAAAGAAUUUCAUCUUUGUCCGCAGGCUUUUGCAGACGACUUAAUUUCUUGGAAAUGAAGUAUUUUUAUCAGAAGGAUGGAUACUUCUGGGAUGUUUACUUUAUUGCAAACUUUAUAUAGUCUUUCACAGUGUACUUUCCAAACUAAUCCCAUUGAAUUUUGUGGGCAUUUCCAAAUCUGUCUUGAUUGUUCUGUCCCUAGGAGUUUGUGGUUUGGUCAAGUAGCCCAUUAUUAUUCUGCCCUUGAGGGUAAAUACGGGGUCCUGAUUACAGACUGGUCUAUUUACAUUCUGCAAUUUGCCACUCCUUUUAUUUCUGUAAGUUUAAAUCUGGGUUAUACGUAAAUAUCUUCUUCACAUUUGAAUGUCUUAUGUCUGUCAGAGGCAGAUGUUAAUCAAGAAUUUCCCUAAGACUUCUUUCUAGAUUAAGAAUACUUACUAUCUUUCCUGACAGAUUUCUCUUUUUUCUUUUUUUUUUUUUCAGUUUGUUCUUUCUUGUCCUAAGUCAAGUCCUAUCACGUAGAGUCCACUGGUGGUGGUAGACAAGUAUUAAAAAAAAAUAAAAGCUAGGAAUUGUUUACCUCUU